UGGCCGGUACAACGGGGUGCGACACGGUGACGUGGGGCGGAUCCCUGAAAAACCGGUCUCAGUUCGGAUCGCAGUCUGCAACUCGACUGCGUGAAGGUGGAGUCGCUAGUAAUCGCGGAUCAGCAACGCCGCGGUGAAUGCGUUCCCGGGCCUUGUACACACCGCCCGUCAAGUCAUGAAAGUGGGCAGCACCCGAAGACGGUGGCCUAACCCUUGUGGGGGGAGCCGUCUAAGGUGAGGCUCGUGAUUGGGACUAAGUCGUAACAAGGUACC
rnacentral:rRNA from 1 species